rnacentral:rRNA from 1 species
AAUGCAAGUCGAACGAACUCUGGUAUUGAUUGGUGCUUGCAUCAUGAUUUACAUUUGAGUGAGUGGCGAACUGGUGAGUAACACGUGGGAAACCUGCCCAGAAGCGGGGGAUAACACCUGGAAACAGAUGCUAAUACCGCAUAACAACUUGGACCGCAUGGUCCGAGCUUGAAAGAUGGCUUCGGCUAUCACUUUUGGAUGGUCCCGCGGCGUAUUAGCUAGAUGGUGGGGUAACGGCUCACCAUGGCAAUGAUACGUAGCCGACCUGAGAGGGUAAUCGGCCACAUUGGGACUGAGACACGGCCCAAACUCCUACGGGAGGCAGCAUGUAGGGGAAUCUUCCACAAUGGACGAAAGUCUGAUGGAGCAACGCCGCGUGAGUGAAGAAGGGUUUCGGCUCGUAAAACUCUGUUGUUAAAGAAGAACAUAUCUGAGAGUAACUGUUCAGGUAUUGACGGUAUUUAACCAGAAAGCCACGGCUAACUACGUGCCAGCAGCCGCGGUAAUACGUAGGUGGCAAGCGUUGUCCGGAUUUAUUGGGCGUAAAGCGAGCGCAGGCGGUUUUUUAAGUCUGAUGUGAAAGCCUUCGGCUCAACCGAAGAAGUGCAUCGGAAACUGGGAAACUUGAGUGCAGAAGAGGACAGUGGAACUCCAUGUGUAGCGGUGAAAUGCGUAGAUAUAUGGAAGAACACCAGUGGCGAAGGCGGCUGUCUGGUCUGUAACUGACGCUGAGGCUCGAAAGUAUGCGUAGCAAACAGGAUUAGAUACCCUGGUAGUCCAUACCGUACACGAUGAAUGCUAAGUGUUGGAGGGUUUCCGCCCUUCAGUGCUGCAGCUAACGCAUUAAGCAUUCCGCCUGCGGAGUACGUCCGCCAGUCUGACACUCACAGUAAUUGACGGGGGCACGCACAAGCGGUGGAGCAUGUGGUUUAAUUCGAAGCUACGCGAAGAACCUUACCAGGUCUUGACAUACUAUGCCAAUCUAAGAUAUUAGACGUUCCCUUCGUGAAAUGGAUACAGGCGGUGCAUGUUCUCGUCAACUCGGCCCUUAGAAGUCGGAUUAGUCCCGCACCAGCCCUACCCUUAUAAUCGGUGCCAGCCUUAAGUGGUCACCCUGGGUGAACUCCGCUCACAACCGCCCCAAGGGGGAUGGCGCCAAUCCCCG